CCUACGGGUGGCAGCAGUGGGGGCUAUUUCACAAUGGGGGAAACCCUGCUGCAGCGAAGCCGCGUGAGUGAAGAAGCAUUUCGGUAUGUAAAGCUCUAUCAGCAGGGAAGAAAAAAGACGGUACCUGACUAAGAAGCCACGGCUAACUACGUGCCAGCAGCCGAGGUAAUAAGUCGGGGGCAAGCGUUAUCCGGAUGUACUGGGUUUAAAGGGAGCGUAGACGGCAAUACAAGUCGGAAGUGAAAUACCCGGGCUCAACCUGGGAAUUGCUUUGGAAACUGUAUGUCUGGAGUGCUGGAGAGGUAAGCGGAAUUCCUAGUGUAGCGGUGAAAUGCGUAGAUAUUAGGAGGAACACCAGUGGCGAAGGCGGCUUACUGGACAGUAACUGACGUUGAGGCUCGAAAGCGUGGGGAGCAAACAGGAUUAGAUACCCGUGUAGUC
rnacentral:rRNA from 1 species